GACGAACGCUGGCGGCGUGCUUAACACAUGCAAGUCGAACGGAAAGGCCCUGCUUUUGUGGGGUGCUCGAGUGGCGAACGGGUGAGUAACACGUGAGUAACCUGCCCUUGACUUUGGGAUAACUUCAGGAAACUGGGGCUAAUACCGGAUAGGAGCUCCUGCUGCAUGGUGGGGGUUGGAAAGUUUCGGCGGUUGGGGAUGGACUCGCGGCUUAUCAGCUGGUUGGUGGGGUAGUGGCUUACCAAGGCUUUGACGGGUAGCCGGCCUGAGAGGGUGACCGGCCACAUUGGGACUGAGAUACGGCGCAGACGCCUACGGGAGGCAGCAGGGGGGAAUAUUGCACAAUGGGCGGAAGCCUGAUGCAGCAACGCCGCGUGCGGGAUGACGGCCUUCGGGUUGUAAACCGCUUUCGCCUGUGACGAAGCGUGAGUGACGGUAAUGGGUAAAGAAGCACCGGCUAACUACGUG
rnacentral:rRNA from 1 species